CCUGCGGAAGGAUCCAUUACAUU
rnacentral:rRNA from 1 species